ensembl:lncRNA
GUAGACCUUACAGUGAAAUACUGAAUACAACAGGUGUAGGUAGACCUUACAGUGAAAUACUGAAUACAACAGGUGUAGUAGACCUUACAGUGAAAUGCUGAAUACAACAGGUGUAGGUAGACCUUACAGUGAAAUGCUGAAUACAACAGGUGUAGGUAGACCUUACAGUGAAAUGCUGAAUACAACAGGUGUAGUAGACCUUACAGUGAAAUGCUGAAUACAACAGGUGUAGGUAGACCUUACAAUGAAAUGCUGAAUACAACAGAUGUAGGUAGACCUUACAGUGAAAUGCUGAAUACAACAGGUGUAGGUAGACCUUACAGUGAAAUGCUGAAUACAACAGAUG